GUUUUCUCGUGCUUUCCAAGAUUCCAGCAAUUCUUAGUGUUCUCAAUUUGUCUCUUUAUUGUUAGGUUUAGUCGAUGUAAAUUUUGCACCUAGACUUGACCGAAGAAUUGAAUUGUGUGAGGUUGUGCGGACAAGUAAAAGGGAACUUAUAGGCUAUGCUUCCAGCAAACUGGUGGAGGACAACUGACAAGAUACCAAAAUCGAAAACAAGCAGUCGAAUUGGUGAGCGAGGUGUCAGAAGAGAAAAGAUCUCGUGUCGAACAAGGCAUAGACCUAAUCCUAAUUGCAUCUGCUACUCCUAAUGCCACCGUCCAAGUAUAGUAAUCGAGACCUAGCAAAUAAAGAAAAUCCAGUGACUACCGACGUCAACUAACAAAUCACAAUUUCUAAUCGAUCGUCGAUCAGCGUGGAAGCACCACACAAGAUGAUGAAAACUUCCGGGGAAAAAAAAAUCUAAACUUCAUUCGUGUUGCUAAAUGCUAAUAGACAAUCCGAUUUAUCCUUCUAGUUGUUAACAAGCAGUGACGCAGUACUAUUGUGAGUGUUGGCUUUUUUUGAAUUCGAAAUUCAGAGACCAAGGUGUAGCGUAGAACUAGAUGGCGCAUGGCGAAUAAGUUUCAGCCACUGAUAGCAGACAGCAUAUUACAC
rnacentral:lncRNA from 1 species